CCUACGGGUGGCUGCAGUGGGGAAUACUGCACAAUGGGCGCAAGCCUGAUGCAGCGACGCCGCGUGAGCGAUGAAGGCCUUCGGGUCGUAAAGCUCUGUCCUAAGGGCAGAAUAAUGACGGUACCUUAGGAGGAAGCCCCGGCUAACUACGUGCCAGCAGCCGCGGUAAUACGUAGGGGGCGAGCGUUAUCCGGAAUCACUGGGCGCAAAGGGUGCGUAGGCGGCCCUGCAAGUCAGGAGUUAAAUCCCUCGGGUAAACCGAGGUCAGCACCUGAAACGGUAGGGCUUGAGUGCAGGAGAGGAGAGCGGAAGUCCUAGUGUAGCGGUGCAGGGCGUAGAUAAUGAGAUGGACACCAGUAGCGAAGGCGGCUAUCAUGGCUGCAACUGACGCUGCGGCAGGAAAGCGUGGGGAGCGAACUGGAUUAGAUACCCGAGUAGUC
rnacentral:rRNA from 1 species